rnacentral:rRNA from 1 species
UACGAAGGGGGCUAGCGUUGCUCGGAAUCACUGGGCGUAAAGCGCACGUAGGCGGCUUUCUAAGUCAGGGGUGAAAUCCUGGAGCUCAACUCCAGAACUGCCUUUGAUACUGGAGAGCUUGAGUCCGGGAGAGGUGAGUGGAACUCCGAGUGUAGAGGUGAAAUUCGUAGAUAUUCGCAAGAACACCAGUGGCGAAGGCGGCUCACUGGCCCGAUACUGACGCUGAGGCACGAAAGCGUGGGGAGCAAACAGGG